GUGGGGACUGCAGGAUUUGGUUUCAUAGGGGUUUACAAAGCACAGCUUUCAGAGCCAUUGAAAGAAAUCAGGACGGCAGCUUUUCUGGUUUGCCUAUUUGUGAUGUCUUUUUGCUGCCACUUUGGUUUAUGCCAUUGCUUCCCUGGAGAUGUCCAGCCACUUUGUCAAAGGGGAACACAGACUGGAGAUGGAAGCAAACCAGGCCACUGGUGUCGGAAGACUAUAGGGAAUGACAACGUGCUGAUGAGGGCUGUCUGGGGAGGAAGCUGUAAGGAGCAAUGAGGACCCCCCCGCCCCGCCCCAGCUUCCUGCUCUCCAAAUUAGGCAAGCCAGAGCCCUUACCUGGUCCUCACAGGACAAUCCUCCCAUCCUUUUCACUACUUCUAUUGCCUUCCUCUGGAUGCAUUCAAAGACCCUUGUGUCCAUCUUAAACUCUGGGGCCCAGACCUUCAUACAGCAUUGGAAGUGAGGCUGUACCCAUGCUGAAUACAGCAGGAUAAUCACCUUUUUUGACCAGCUGCUGAUACUGCACCUCAGGAUAUUUUCCCUCUUGCCUGCCAGGGCCCACUGCUGACUCACACUGAACCUGCUGUCAGUCAGCACCUACAGGUCUCUUUUUCCAGGGUUGCUCUCCUAUCACCCUUCUCUGAAUUUAUACUUUUGUUCAGAAUUACUCUGUGCCAGGUGAAAAAUACAGUAAUUAUUUUUGUAAAAUCUCACAACAUGGAUUGUUAAUAGUAUCUUACAAGGGGUACCGUAAAAAGCUUAAAGGUAUAGAAGAGGUGGGAUAGAUGAAGCAAGAAAUUGCAUCUACUAACUUGGCUUCUUCAGAGUUGAAAACCUGGAAAAUACAUAAAGGUCUAUGAAAUGGCAUGCAGAAAAAAGAAUACAAAAUUCACUUCUCAUCCAUGGGCUAGAGGGCAGGAAAUAACACUAAUAGUGCCUUAGGACCAUCUCUCCAAGCACCUCCCACCCAAGUUCUAUAGAGUUGUAUAAAUCAGAUGGAUAAAGUCAUGGGAGAAAGUUCUGCUGCAGGCUGUGGAACAGAGGCUGACCGUCUCUGGCUUAGGAAGCUACUGGAAAAAUGUCACAUCACACUUGCUGCCUUCCUAUGCUUGUGGUCACAGCUCAUGGUGGGGUACUUCGUUAUGGUACAUAUCUUUAUUCUUCAGUUAGAAAUAAUGUUUGCACGGAAUGUACAAAUGAGUAAUUGCAUUGUUUUUCCCUUCUAACUGGCUGAGAAAAUGUUCUGGUCUGGCUACUUUAGCAUCCCAGAUACAGUCAAGUGAGGUGGUAUUUGUCUUUUUGGAGCCUCAUUGGCAGCCUGAGAGGAAAGUCUUGUGCUUUGCACUCCUUAUUGCUUCAGGCCCUUGUGGGCCUCUCAGGCUAGCUUUUGUGAUGAUCUGGUGCAAGGUAAGUAUUGAUUGUUCUGGGAAGGACCCAGGUAAAAGGGUGCCUUAUAUUUGCAGUUCAUUCAGUGAAAAUAAAACAUCUAAUGUGCUCAUGUGCCAUGUGCUGGUGUUCAGGGACUGUGUGUUGAGAAGGAAACAAAAUUUUUAUUCCUUGCUCCAGUGCAUCCAGCUUCUAUUCUCUGUCCCACACUCAUCUUAGGGUGGAAAUCAGAAAUCUAAAACCGAUUUGGAGGAGCACUACACUGAAAAGUUCUGAAAGUGCUUUCAAAGCAUCAGUUGGCCACUGGUGAAUACCUAGGAGAAAGACAAAUAUACUGUGAACUUUCCUAGCACAGUUUCCAGCUCCCAAUGCAGGGCCUUCCAGAGUGUGAGGUAUUCCUUAAGUUAGUUAGAAGCUGGAUUUCCUUCCAUGGAUUUGCCUGGUUUGCAUAGAAGACCUUCUUUCCUUCUAAUCAAUCUGGUGUCACGCUUUGAGGUCAUCCCUGACACACACACAGGCUGGGAACAAGACCGGAGCACUGCUCAUCUCCAGGCAUUUAUCAGCAUCUCUUCCAAUGUUUAUUUGCUAAAAUGUGUGCUGCUGUCUGUUAUUCCCACCAUGCCUGCAAGGAGCACUGCUUCCUCUGCUGUUUCUUGGCAGUGGGGCAAUGAAGCAUCAUUCAGUUUCCCAUCGCAGAGCACACCUGAUGUGGAGGAGUGUGUCCUUGCACCCUGGAAGGA